rnacentral:rRNA from 1 species
UACGUAGGUGGCAAGCGUUGUCCGGAAUUACUGGGUGUAAAGCGCGUGUAGGCGGGAGGCCAAGUCUGCUGUGAAAUCGCUCGGCUCAACUGGGCGGGGUCGGUGGAAACUGGUCACCUGGAGGACGGUAGAGGCGAGUGGAAUUCCCGGUGUAGUGGUGAAAUGCGUAGAGAUCGGGAGGAACACCCGUGGCGAAGGCGGCCUGCUGGGCCGAUCCUGACGCUGAGGCGCGAAGGCGUGGGGAGCGAACGGG